rnacentral:rRNA from 1 species
AACGAACGCUGGCGGCAGGCCUAACACAUGCAAGUCGAACGCCGUAGCAAUACGGAGUGGCAGACGGGUGAGUAACGCGUGGGAACAUACCCCUCGGUUCGGAAUAACUCAGGGAAACUUGAGCUAAUACCGGAUACGUCCGAUGUUUUAAUCGACCUUGGAGAAAGAUUUAUCGCCGGAGGAUUGGCCCGCGUCUGAUUAGCUUGUUGGUGAGGUAAUGGCUCACCAAGGCGACGANCAGUAGCUGGUCUGAGAGGAUGAUCAGCCACAUUGGGGACUGAGACACGGCCCAAACUCCUACGGGAGGCAGCAGUGGGGAAUAUUGGACAAUGGGCGAAAGCCUGAUCCAGCCAUGCCGCGUGAGUGAUGAAGGCC